rfam:Nasonia vitripennis chromosome 5 unlocalized genomic scaffold Chr5_random003, whole genome shotgun sequence.
CAAUCGGCCCUUCUCAGGGCCAUCAAUAUUUUUUAAACGUAAAAC